rnacentral:misc_RNA from 1 species
UUUCCGUAGGUGAACCUGCGGAAGGAUCAUUACAGUGUUCCCCGCCCUUCGGGGUAGGAGCGCCACCCUUGAUUAUUUAUGUCGGUUGCUUUGGCGGGCCUCGCGGCCUAGCCGCGCCCCGGCUUCGGCGGGGGGGCGCCCGCCAGAGGAUGCUACAAACCUGAUUAUUAGUGUCGUCUGAGUACUAUAUAAUAGUUAAAACUUUAAACAACGGAUCUCUUGGUUCUG